CGGGUGAGUAACGCGUGAGGAACCUGCCUCAAAGAGGGGGACAACAGUUGGAAACGACUGCUAAUACCGCAUAAGCCCACGGCUCGGCAUCGAGCAGAGGGAAAAGGAGCAAUCCGCUUUGAGAUGGCCUCGCGUCCGAUUAGCUGGUUGGUGAGGUAACGGCCCACCAAGGCGACGAUCGGUAGCCGGACUGAGAGGUUGAACGGCCACAUUGGGACUGAGACACGGCCCAGACUCCUACGGGAGGCAGCAGUGGGGAAUAUUGCACAAUGGGGGAAACCCUGAUGCAGCGACGCCGCGUGGAGGAAGAAGGUCUUCGGAUUGUAAACUCCUGUUGUUGGGGAAGAUAAUGACGGUACCCAACAAGGAAGUGACGGCUAACUACGUGCCAGCAGCCGCGGUAAAACGUAGGUCACAAGCGUUGUCCGGAAUUACUGGGUGUAAAGGGAGCGCAGGCGGGAAGACAAGUUGGAAGUGAAAUCUAUGGGCUCAACCCAUAAACUGCUUUCAAAACUGUUUUUCUUGAGUAGUGCAGAGGUAGGCGGAAUUCCCGGUGUAGCGGUGGAAUGCGUAGAUAUCGGGAGGAACACCAGUGGCGAAGGCGGCCUACUGGGCACCAACUGACGCUGAGGCUCGAAAGUGUGGGUAGCAAACAGGAUUAGAUACCCUGGUAGUCCACACCGUAAACGAUGAUUACUAGGUGUUGGAGGAUUGACCCCUUCAGUGCCGCAGUUAACACAAUAAGUAAUCCACCUGGGGAGUACGACCGCAAGGUUGAAACUCAAAGGAAUUGACGGGGGCCCGCACAAGCAGUGGAGUAUGUGGUUUAAUUC
rnacentral:rRNA from 1 species